CUCAGUCCCUGAUCCCGAGUGGCUUCCGGAGCUGGACUGGCUGCCUGCGGAGGAGGGCGGGGCAAGCAGGCCCCUGAGUUCUUCGUUACCAUGGGUGAGAUCUCCGCCCUCCGAGCUGUUGAGUGAAUCGCUGAGGGCCGAGAGGGAUGAGGACGUGCUCUUGGUCUCGCUGAGGGGACUCCUUGAGUUCAGACCUGGACACAAGAGGACAGAUAGCGGAAAACAUAGUCGCAGACGCUGCAGCAGAGAGAGAACAUCCACUGCUCCUUGUCCACAUGGAGCGACAUGUGGCUGACAAACUGCGCGUUCAGCUCCGUCUGGAAAUCACACACAUGGCAGCUGGACAGAGAACAGAGAGGAAAAGGAAGGAAGAUGUCACACAAAAGCACACACAGGGAAACGUGACCUGGGGGCAGGCAGUGGAGCAGCACACGUGUAGUACCACAGAGCUCCCAGCCAGCAUGAGUCACUCUGAACACCAGUCAACCCAGGGAGAACAAUGGCAACCGGUGUGUGAGGUGUC